CCUACGGGAGGCAGCAGUGAGGAAUAUUGGUCAAUGGGAGAGAUCCUGAACCAGCCAAGCCGCGUGAGGGAAGACGGCCCUAUGGGUUGUAAACCUCUUUUGUCGGGGAACAAAACCCGGGACGUGUCCCGGACUGCGUGUAUCCGAAGAAAAAGCAUAGGCUAACUCCGUGCCAGCAGCCGCGGUAAUACGGAGGAUGUGAGCGUUAUCCGGAUUUAUGGGGUUUAAAGGGUGCGUAGGCGGUCCGUUAAGUCAGCGGUAAAAUGGCGGGGCUCAACCCCGGAGAGCCGUUGAAACUGGCAGACUUGAGUUGGCGAGAAGUACGUGGAAUGCGCGGUGUAGCGGUGAAAUGCAUAGAUAUCGCGCAGAACUCCGAUUGCGAAGGCAGCGUACCGGCGCCAGACUGACGCUGAGGCACGAAAGCGUGGGGAUCGAACAGGAUUAGAUACCCUAGUAGUC
rnacentral:rRNA from 1 species